CGGAAGUAUGGAGUCCUUCACGSGUUAUUUAAGUGACAACACAUGUUGUAAAGUGAACUGAAUUUUGAGUGUUGAGCGGAAGCUANCGGCGGACGGGUGAGUAACGCGUGGGCAACCUGCCCUGUACUGAGGGACAACAACGGGAAACCGUUGCUAAUACCUCAUAAUACCUUUUAAAGGCAUCUUUUWAARGUCAAAGAUUUAUCGGUACAGGAUGGGCCCGCGUCUGAUUANCUANUUGGUGGGGUAAUGGCCCACCAAGGCGACGAUCAGUACCCGACCU
rnacentral:rRNA from 1 species